AUCACUUCUCGGCCUUUUGGCUAAGAUCAAGUGUAGUAUCUGUUCUUAUCAGUGCUAGGAUUUGGGCAUUGAUGUAGGAUGGAUCUUGCAUGGAGGGGGCUGGUUCUGAGGAAUUAGCUCGACGGCUGCCCUGAUGUGACCUGUUUCCCUCUGGGUCUUGCCAUGAGGCUGAGAGGGUCUAGAGCCAAGAUACUUU